rnacentral:rRNA from 1 species
UACGUAGGCAGCAAGCGUUGUUCGGAAUUACUGGGCGUAAAGCGCACGCAGGCGGUCUGCUAAGUUUGGAGUGACAGUUGGUGGCUUAACUGCCAAAGUGCUUCGAAAACUGACAGACUUGAGGGCUUCAGAGGGACACGGAAUUCCGGGUGGAGUGGUGAAAUGCGUAGAGAUCCGGAGGAACACCAAAGGCGAAGGCAGUGUCCUGGGGAGUACCUGACGCUCAGGUGCGAAAGCCAGGGGAGCGAACGGG